rnacentral:SRP_RNA from 1 species
AGGCGAGCUAGGCUGGUGCAUUAGCCCUGUACUGUAACCAUAAAUGGGCUUUAUGAUGGAGUCAAAGCCUGGAAAGAGGCAUAUUUCAAGUCUGUUGGUCUUGGAGUUGCCAAUGAAGUUCUGUCCUAUGGGAUCGAUGCUCAUAGGAACCGCGUCAGGCCCUGACGGGAGCAGCGCUAACUAUAUGUGUCGAUGCUCAUAGGGUAGCGGAACCGAGAAUACUCCAGGGUUAACCAAUAAGCUUGAAGUGUGUCCAUUUUCGGGCGUGCUCGCCU